rnacentral:rRNA from 1 species
UACGUAGGGGGCGAGCGUUGUCCGGAAUCAUUGGGCGUAAAGAGCUCGUAGGCGGUUCAGUAAGUCAGGUGUGAAAGCUCCGAGCUCAACUCGGAGAGGCCACCUGAUACUGCUGUGACUAGAAUCCAGUAGGGGAGUGUGGAACUCCUGGUGUAGCGGUGAAAUGCGCAGAUAUCAGGAAGAACACCAGCGGCGAAGGCGGCACUCUGGGCUGGAAUUGACGCUGAGGAGCGAAAGUGUGGGGAGCGAUCCGG